UACGAAGGGUGCAAGCGUUAAUCGGAAUUAUUGGGCGUAAAGGGCGCGUAGGCGGUGCGGUAAGUCUGUAGUGAAAUCUCUGGGCUCAACUCAGAGUCUGCUGCAGAAACUGCCGUGCUUGAGUGUGGGAGAGGUGAGUGGAAUUCCCGGUGUAGCGGCGAAAUGCGUAGAUAUCGGGAGGAACACCUGUGGCGAAAGCGGCUCACUGGACCACAACUGACGCUGAGGCGCGAAAGCUAGGGGAGCAAACAGG
rnacentral:rRNA from 1 species